rnacentral:tRNA from 1 species
GUUUUAAUAAUUUAAAUAAAAUAUUGGUCUUGUAAAUCAAAAAUAAGUUCUUCUUUUAAAACU